rnacentral:tRNA from 1 species
GCUCUCGUGGCUCAGGGGUAGAGCACUUCNNAGGUCGGCGGUUCAAAUCCGCUCGUGAGCUCCA